rnacentral:rRNA from 1 species
GGAUUAGAUACCCUGGUAGUCCACGCUGUAAACGCUGUCUACUAGCAGCCUGACUCUUUACGAGUGAUUUUGCGCAGCUAACGCGAUAAGUAGACCGCCUGGGGAGUACGGCCGCAAGGUUAAAACUCAAAUGAAUUGACGGGGGCCCGCACAAGCGGUGGAGCAUGUGGUUUAAUUCGAUGCAACGCGAAGAACCUUACCAUCCCUUGACAUCGUGAGGAUUUCCCAGAGAUGGGGAAGUGCCUUCGGGAACUCACAGACAGGUGCUGCAUGGCUGUCGUCAGCUCGUGUUG